UGUGAGUCGAGUGCACACAUCCGAAGAAGUUACUGAGAAUUCUUCUCUGUAGGUUUAGAUGAAGAAAUCCCGUUUCCAAAGAAGGCCUCCAAUAGGUCCAAAUAUCCACUUGCAGCUACUACAAGAAGGGUGUUUCAGAAACGCUCUAUCAAAAGAAACGUUACACUCUGUGAGUUGAACGCACACGUCACUAAGCACUUUCUGAGAACGAUUCUAUCUACUUUUUACAUGAAGAUGUUUCCUUUUCUAGCAGAGACUUCAAAGUGCUCUAAAUAUCCACUUGGGAAUUCUACAAAAACGGUGUCUCAAAACUGCUCUAUCAAAGGGAAUGUUCCAUUCUGUGAGUCGAAUGCACACAUCCGAUGAAGUUACUGAGAAUUCUUCUCUGUAGGUUUAGAUGGAGAAAUCCCGUUUCCAACGAAGGCCUCUAGGAGGUCCAAUUAUCCACUUGCAGAUUCUACAGAAAGAGUGUUUCAAAACUGCUCUAUCAAGAGAAAUGGUCCACCGUGUGUGUGGAAUGCAGCCAUCACACAUUAGUUUCUGAGAUUGCUUCUGUCUUGGUUUUAUGGGGAGAUAUUUCCAUUUCUAGCAUAGGCUUCAAGGCGCUCUAAAUAUCCGCUUGGAAAUACUACAAAAACAGUGUUUCAAAACUGCUGUAUCCAAAGGAAGGUGCCACUCGCUGAGUUGAAUGCACACAUCACAAAGAAGUUUCUGAGAAUUCUUCUGUCUAGAUUUAUACGAAGAAAUCCCGUUUCCAACGAAGGCCUCAAAGAAGUCCAAAUAUCCCAUUGCAAAUUCUACAAAAGGAGUGUUUCCCAACUGCUCUGUCAAGAGGAAUGUUGCACUCUGUGACUUGAAUGCAAACAUCACAUAGCAGUGUUUGAGAAUUCUUCUAUCUAGAGUAACAUGAAGAAAUCCCGUUUCCAACGAAGGCCUCAAUUGGUCUAUAGAUCCACGUGCUUCUUCUACGAAAAGAGGGUUCCAGAAAUGUUCUAUCAAAAGAAACGUUAAACUCUGUGAGUUGAACGCACACAUCACAAGCAGUUUCUGAGAACGAUUCUAUCGAGUUUUUACA
rnacentral:lncRNA from 10 species